UCGCGUGAGUAACCUAAUUCAUCCAUCAAUAGAUUUCACGUUUCACGAAAUUCUAACGAUCUUAAAUAAAAGAAAUUCACUGUUCGUAAAUCCCUAAUCUAAACAACACAAAAUAUCAUGCACGCAGAAAUUUUGACGAAGAAAAUGUUAAAGAAUCACUAAUGACAAAUUCCAGAAUGAAUAAAAACGGUAAAAUUGUAUUCGCAGUUGAAAAGAGCUUCGGUAAAAGUGUUGUUAGAGGACAAAUAAAAGGAGUUACGUGAAAGGAAUACACAGAAGCCUUUUCGUUAAAACGAAAAGUUUUAAAAAUAAUUACAAAUCAACCGUACGUCUAGCAUCUCGUAUCGAAAGUAAAAACGAUUCAAGAAUUCAUCACCAUACGAGUCUGUAACAAAAGUUCGGUAUCCCAGAAGUCGAAGCCCACCCGGUAUACACGUUCCUGCCAUGUAUCGUGUUAUAUGAAGUCUGCACGUGUACAUAUGUACUCAUACAUAACUGUACUCACAUCGAGCACAUAAGGGUUGAUAGUGCUCGGGCGAGCAAGCUACCCUUAUAUGCAAGGGCGUGGCCAAGGUCCACCAAUCAGAGAACAGAGAAGCCCCGAAAGCCCAAAUCGAAGCAAGUAAAAAUUUUAGCGGCCGUGUCAAACGCCACGCGUAAGGGGAUCAGCUCGGUUGAUCUGGGCUUACAUUUUCCUUACUUACCCUCUAUUCCCUUCUAGCGAGACUCGCAUCCAUCGGCUCCGCAUUUCACGUCUCACUCCACCUACCCAUCAGGAGCCACCCCAGGGCUUUUCUUCGUGGGCGAUGUGUAUCCACCUUAAAUAUAACGAUACGCUUACCGUUUGGAGUGGAAACGUUACUGACUUCUGCCGAGUCUUUUCAUCUUGGCCUGACUUCAAUCUAUUCUUCGUCCUUCCUCGCCGUGAAAAAGGCUCAAUCAUUUUCAAUCAAUCAAUUAAUCGUUCAGCCUAUAGCCGUCGAGAGGCACCAUUAGUUCCUAAUAUUCGCAUGGACAAUUUUAAUUUGGAUCUGUAAACUACGCUGAUGGAUUGACGAAAGGGAGCCAUGCGACGCCAAGGGGGGGCGUGCGUUUAAUAGCCCCUAGUGUUACCUCGGAGGCAUACUGCCAUUAAGAAUCCCACAAGACCAUCCCACCUUCCAUCCACCCUUCUUCCGCCGACAUCUUCAGCGCCACGACAUAUUACACUACGCCCUGGGGCGCAGAAUCCGGACUUGCCAUUACAAUGCUUAGAUAGUCCUGCCCGGAAAUCAAUAUGAUAACAACACGGUAUCAACGACCAAUCCUGUAAAAGGGGAAUGAAAUCAGUAUCGCCAGGAGCAAUAUAACUGCCAAGUCCAUAAGGUAUGCAGUCUGAUCAACGAUACUCUGUAAAGAAAAAUAAUGGAAAAAUCAUGGGGAAAAGUGAAAAGAAGUCAGAAACACACGGUACAACGUUGGCUCUGGUAUGCUCUCCUUGCACUGCUGGUUCACUCGUUUGAGAGUAACGUCGAAUAAAGUAUAUGACCGAGGUUACUAUUAACUCAUUAGAGAAAGUUCUAUGUAUUAUUAUUAAAUUCUCUUUGAAACUAUCCUGGCACGUACUUAGCCUACGGUACCUGCCGGUAGGGAAGGAUGGAUAAGGAAGAGGAAGGAAACAAGUGGGACGAAUAGAGGAAGAGCAGGAUAGACAUUGCCAAGUGAGAAGUAAGGUGCGAGUGAACUAAAAACGACAAGGAUAGAACAGAGAACUGUGCUUGGGGAGAGGAGCGUCUUAGAGAAAGCGUGUGGAGAAGGGAAACUGGGAAAGCAGCCAUCUUGCCACAAACUUGACUCCACCAAUCAGCGUCGAGAUGUGGUCACCGUUGUACUCCGAGUUCUCCCAGCCCCUCGGCCAUCUUCCAACCCUUUAAUUGUAAUCAAUUUACUCUGGCAAGACUCACGCAAGAAAAGGGGUACCACCUAUCCAGUAGUAGGCAGCAACAACGUAACCAUCAAGUUCUGCCAGGCCCAACGCGACUAUGGCUAAAUAAUUAGCGCAAGAGAUUAAUGGGCAAAAGUUAAGCAUUGUUAAUGAUCUUGUUGGCCUGUGCGAAAGAGUGCGUCACCCCUUCCUGAUUCGUACUGCUUCUUGUGUAAUCCACCCUUUGGGGCUAAAACAAGGAGUAUGUAUUACAGCAGGUUGAUCACCGGGACGCGUGUUCACGUCGUCGCUGUGUCGUCUUGGAGAACCGGAUGGAUCGGUUGGCUGGUACGUCAGGUUAUUUGAAGAAUGGAGUAUUAACCUGAAACGUAUUCAAUUCCGAACCUUGUUAUAAUGAACGGCGCGUGUUCGUGAAACGAGUUUACCACCCUUUAAGAGUUUAUAAGCACGACCCCCCUCACCUGGAACGAGUAGGGGUUGCUUAAGGUCUUAAGUUCCUGACUCUGCACCUGCCCAUGAAGAACAUGUCUCAGCGAUGACAGAAAGACGUUUUUGAUAUUUUUUUUUUCAAAGUCUUGGGCCUUGGUACUCGAUUGAACUGUACUCGGUUGUCAUGGCACUUUUUUUGGGGGAAAACAAUUACUUUUCUUUUCAAGAUUUGCAAAGGGAGAGACUGGUGUACGUCUUCGGUCGAUCAGGGGAUGGCGGAAUGGAUUGGACGUUAUCAGAAAGAGGAAUAACGUACAAUGGGAAAACAAGUGGUGUCCAAAGUCCUAAUGAUGUCGUUUGUUACUUCUUGAAUUAACGUGACAAUCAAGUAAUCCGCCAUGGCAUCUCCCUAAUAUUUUCGGAAGCCACGUAAAAUCGUGCACGAGGAAAUCUGCCAAUUGGAUCGAAUCGAAGGGACGUUUGCGGAGGAGAAUAAAAGGAAGAAGCGA